GAUUUCUGGUUUGGUGCGCCUGGCCCACUGCCUUCAGGUAUGUGAGUGCCGGUGCGCGCCUGCCAUCCCUUCUAGAGAACGAUUCUGCCCUUCACUGGUGUCGGAGUCGCGAUCUAGAUCUUUUACUUUGAAAAAAUUAGAGUGUUUAAAGCAGGCUUGCGCUAUGAAUACAUUAGCAUGGAAUAAUAAUUUAGGACUUGUCUCCUAUUUUAUUGGUUUCUAGGGGUUAAGUAAUGAUUGAUAGGGAUAGUUGGGGGUGCUAGUAUUCAUCGGCCAGAGGUGAAAUUCUUGGAUUCGAUGAAGACUAACUAAUGCGAAAGCAUU
rnacentral:rRNA from 1 species